rfam:Gossypium hirsutum cultivar TM-1 chromosome 1, whole genome shotgun sequence
AGUCCAUUAUGUGGGCACUUUCUUAAUGUCGUCUUAAAACAUUCCCAUGCCUUAUAUUGAGACUCACCUUCGUAUUGUUUAAAGUUGGCAAUUUCUCGCCUUAGCU